CCUACGGGGGGCAGCAGUGGGGGAUAUUGCACAAUGGGGGGAACCCUGAUGCAGCGACGCCGCGUGGGCGAUGGAGCGCCUCGGCGCGUAAAGCCCUAUCAGCAGGGAAGAAGAUGACGGUACCUGACUAAGAAGCCCCGGCUAAAUACGUGCCAGCAGCCGCGGUAAUACGUAUGGGGCAAGCGUUAUCCGGAUUUACUGGGUGUAAAGGGGGCGCAGACGGCAAUGCAAGCCAGGAGUGAAAGCCCGGGGCCCAACCCCGGGACUGCUCUUGGCACUGCAUGGCUGG
rnacentral:rRNA from 1 species